rnacentral:rRNA from 1 species
AUUGAACGCUGGCGGAAUGCUUUACACAUGCAAGUCGAACGGCAGCACGGGGCAACCUGGUGGCGAGUGGCGAACGGGUGAGUAAUACAUCGGAACGUGCCCAAUCGUGGGGGAUAACGUAGCGAAAGUUACGCUAAUACCGCAUACGAUCUACGGAUGAAAGCGGGGGAUCGCAAGACCUCGCGCGAAUGGAGCGGCCGAUGUCAGAUUAGGUAGUUGGUGGGGUAAAGGCUCACCAAGCCGACGAUCUGUAGCUGGUCUGAGGGGAUGACCAGCCACACUGGGACUGAGACACGGCCCAGGCUCCUACGGGAGGCAGCAGUGGGGAAUUUUGGACAAUGGGCGAAAGCCUGAUCCAGCCAUGCCGCGUGCAGGAUGAAGGCCUUCGGGUUGUAAACUGCUUUUGUACGGAACGAAAAGACUCUGGUUAAUACCUGGGGUCCAUGACGGUACCGUAAGAAUAAGCACCGGCUAACUACGUGCCAGCAGCCGCAGUAA